rnacentral:rRNA from 1 species
CCUACGGGCGGCAGCAGUGAGGAAUAUUGGUCAAUGGGCGCGAGCCUGAACCAGCCAAGUAGCGUGAAGGAUGACUGCCCUACGGGUUGUAAACUUCUUUUAUAAAGGAAUAAAGUGAGGCACGUGUGCCUUUUUGUAUGUACCUUAUGAAUAAGGAUCGGCUAACUCCGUGCCAGCAGCCGCGGUAAUACGGAGGAUCCGAGCGUUAUCCGGAUUUAUUGGGUUUAAAGGGUGCGUAGGCGGCCUUUUAAGUCAGCGGUGAAAGUUUGCGGCUCAACCGUAAAAUUGCAAUUGAUACUGGCAGUCUUGAGUACAGUUGAGGUAGGCGGAAUUCGUGGUGUAGCGGUGAAAUGCUUAGAUAUCACGAAGAACCCCGAUUGCGAAGGCAGCUUACUAAACUGUGACUGACAUUGAUGCUCGAAAGUGUGGGUAUCAAACAGGAUUAGAUACCCGUGUAGUC